GGCGGUGUUUGGCACCUCGAUGUCGGCUCAUCUCAUCCUGGGGCUGUAGCCGGUCCCAAGGGUAUGGCUGUUCGCCAUUUAAAGAGGUACGUGAGCUGGGUUUAAAACGUCGUGAGACAGUUUGGUCCCUAUCUGCCGUGGGCGUUGGAUAUUUGAAGGGGGCUGCUCCUAGUACGAGAGGACCGGAGUGGACGAACCUCUGGUGUACCGGUUGUCACGCCAGUGGCAUCGCCGGGUAGCUAUGUUCGGAAGAGAUAACCGCUGAAAGCAUCUAAGCGGGAAACUCGCCUUAAGAUGAGAUAUCCCUGGGGACUAGAUCCCCUUGAAGGGUCGUUCGAGACCAGGACGUUGAUAGGUCAGGUGUGUAAGCGCAGUAAUGCGUUCAGCUAACUGAUACUAAUUGCCCGUAAGGCUUGAUCCUAUAACG
rnacentral:rRNA from 1 species